UCUUGGGUCUUUGUGCGUGUUUUUAUCUGUAAAAUUGCUAAGAGUGGAAUUUCUAGGUUAAAGCUUUUUGCGUUUAAAAAUGUGUAGAUACUGCAAAUCAAUUGCCCUCCAAAAAGGACCACACCAAUUUAUACGCUUAUAAACAAAGCCUGUGAGUGUUUCUUACCUGACACCCUCAGUCCCACUGGAUACUUUAAAACUCUUUCAUCCUUACCAAUCUAAUCAGUGAAAAAUGGAACUGCAGGUUAUUGGUUUUCCCUUGCUCAUUUAAAAAAUGUUGGUGUGAAUGAUUUGGGGACCCUUGGUCUAUCAAAGAAAUUACCUUUUUGUCGUAUGUAUUCUAUGUGUAUUCCCUAGUUUGUCUUUUAACUUUAAUUUCUGCUUGUAAAGAUAUUUCUGUACAGUGUUUUACAUUUCAAUGUAAUUAAGUGGAUCAGUUUUUUUAUUUAUGAUUUCUGGAGCUCAAUAAAUAUUAAGUGAAUCCAA
rnacentral:lncRNA from 1 species